rnacentral:rRNA from 1 species
CCUACGGGAGGCAGCAGUGGGGAAUAUUGGGCAAUGGGCGCAAGCCUGAACCAGCAACGCCGCGUGAAGGAAGAAGGCUUUCGGGUUGUAAACUUUCUUUGUCAGGGACGAAGCAAGUGACGGUACCUGACGAAUAAGCCUCGGCUAACUACGUGCCAGCAGCCGCGGUAAUCCGUAGGUGGCAGACGUUCUCCGGAUUUACUGGGUGUAAAGGGCGAGUAGGCGGGACUGUAAGUCAGAUGUGAAAACCACGGGCUCAACCUGUGGCCUGCAUUUGAAACUGUAGUUCUUGAGUACUGGAGAGGCAGGCGGAAUGCGUGGUGUAGCGGUGAAAUGCGUAGAUAUUAGGAGGAACACCAGUUGCGAAGGCGGUCUGCUGGACAGCAACUGACGGUGAGGCGCGAAAGCGUGGGGAGCAAACAGGAUUAGAUACCCCAGUAGUC